rnacentral:tRNA from 1 species
GCCUGGGUGGCUCAGUUGGUUGAGCAUCAGACUUCGACUCAGGACAUGAUCUCAUGAUUCAUGGGUUUGAGCCCUGUGUCGGGCA